GACGAACGCUGGCGGCGUGCCUAAUACAUGCAAGUAGAACGCUGAAGUCUGGUGCUUGCACUAGACGGAUGAGUUGCGAACGGGUGAGUAACGCGCAGGUAACCUGCCUCAUAGCGGGGGAUAACUAUUGGAACGAUAGCUAAUACCGCAUAACAGUAUUUACCGCAUGGUAGAUGCUUGAAAGGAGCAAUUGCUUCACUAUGAGAUGGACCUGCGUUGUAUUAGCUAGUUGGUGAGGUAACGGCUCACCAAGGCAUCGAUACAUAGCCGACCUGAGAGGGUGAUCGGCCACACUGGGACUGAGACACGGCCCAG
rnacentral:rRNA from 1 species